rnacentral:lncRNA from 1 species
AUGAAAUGCUUAUUUCUUUUUUAACAUAAGCAUUGACUGGAAAUAUUGGUUAUUCUGUCUGAUAUUACAUGAAGGUCAGAUGCCCUCCAUGCAACCAUGAGGUCGGAUGGCAGUUUGAUGCUGAACCAGCAAACAAGGUAAGGGUGAAAUUGUCAUCUGCAUUGUACAGAAUGCGAAGCCAAGGCCUCGAAACAGGAGAUAAUUUAGACAAGGUCACCUAGAGGGAUGCUGGAGGAACCGAGUUUGGAAAGCCAGCUAGCCUGACUGCCCAUUCAUCACGGACAUUAUCUUUCUUCUUGUCUUCCUGCUCAGCUUAGUUUAUUUAAAAGGGAAGCACACUGCAGUUCUAGGGUCAGGCCAGGCCCGCCUGGUGGCUCAGCACCUGCCUGCAAAGGUAAGAAAGCCUCUCCAGCCGAGGCUUGUGAAUGGUGUCAGGGAAGAGUCAGGUUCUCUUUGGAGAAGAGCCCGUUGGGAUCUUUGUUCCCAAACAGGUCCCAUUUCCUCAUGUUUAUUGAAUUCUCUCAAUCACAUACUUGAUCACUGGGUCCCAGGAAGGGGGGCUGGCUAAACUGAGAAAAUGCAAAGUUGAACUUUAUUUACUCUUGAUAAGAGGACCAAAAGGAAGUUAACUUUUUACCCAUUUUAUUCUCAAAGCUAUUGAAAGAAUUAUGAAAUCUACUCGAGAGCAAACGUGGAGGUUAUUCACAAAGGCGUUCAUAAUGAACUAAUUUGCGGAUCUUUUGCCCCUCUUUCACUUUCUGCAGAAAUGAGAAGGAUGACUUUUUUUCCUCUGUUUGUGGCUCUGCAGGCCGUCAGGGGACCCCACUCCUUUCUCCCUGCAGGCUUCCUCUGCCACUUGCUACUCCUUUGUACUCGUUCCACCUGGCAGUCUGAGGAACACAAACUAAAAUGCAGAACUGCCUCGAUGCGUUUGAGAACAUUCUGUCCUUAUUGUGAAUGCUGACUUGCUCCAAUCAACACAUUUCUUUAACUCCUUUAAAACCAGCUUGUUAGAGCUGUCUACAAUGCCGUGAGGUUCCAACUUCCUCUGAUUAAUUAGGAGGCUCAGAAAUGUCCUACUCAGCAUGAAACUAUGAGUAUAAAAACCUUUAUGAUGACCUACCUCCACUUGGAUCAAUGAAGAGAAGAAGAGUUGUGGACAUAGACACAUACAGAGAGAAGACCAUGUGAAGUCACAGGGAGAAGACAGCC